rnacentral:rRNA from 1 species
UACGUAGGUGACAAGCGUUGUCCGGAUUUACUGGGCGUAAAGAGCGCGCAGGCGGUCGUUCAAGUCGAGUGUGAAAGCCCCCCGGCUCAACUGGGGAGGGUCACGCGAUACUGGUCGACUCGAAGGCAGGAGAGGGUAGUGGAAUUCUCGGUGUAGCGGUGAAAAUGCGUAGAUAUCGAGAGGAACACCUGCGGCGAAGGCGGGGUUGCUGGGCUGAUACUGACGCUGAGGCGCGAAAAGCCAGGGGGAGCGAAACGGGG